AGCACGUGUGACAAACAUACUUGCAUAAAUUUCACGGUGAGUAAAAACAGGACUACAUGCCCCUCUGUCAGCCCUCUCCUUCCUCUGCAGGUUACCAUAGCAGCAGCGAGUGUGUGACAGUCAUGUGAAAACGAAGCUGAUUGGAUUAAAAUACUUUGUGUGAUCAGAGGUCAGGAAUAUGGCACAUGUACUAAACACACAUCGCCCGAUUUAAACACACACACACGCGCACGCACAACCGAGACAGGUAGAAAGGUCAGUGCCGUUUGCAACACUUAUCGGUUUUCAAGAACAAAAACUAACAUUGUGUGAGCCUGCCAGCUCAUCUUUACCCUAUCUUGAUUAAAUUUCCUGUCAAAGACACAUACAGAACCACAAGACCGUCCACCCACACUCCACUCUUUUGUAAUCUUAAAGAAACAGGACAUUAAAAUGACGUGACCUCAACCUUCAACUUCAGCCACUUCGUGUCAAAGUCACAGGAAACAGUGAAGCAUGAAAUUCAGACACGGCGCGUUUCAGUCGUGUUUCUGCCCCACUGACUUCGCCACAUUAGCUUUCAACUUUCACUGAAACAAAUACGCACUUGGUUAAAAAUUCAUUUUGUAUAUCGUGGAUCGGACAAAGAUACGGGACAUUACUGAUUGAAGCAAAAGAUUUCUGAUGCCAUUGCCACCACUGAUGAGGUUAUGCCACAGCGAACAUGGCAAGAAAUCGGGUACCGCCUUGAUGUGAUUCGUGCAACUAAUGGUGCUCAUAUAGAGGUGUAUUCAGUGAGGUAUAAAAAACUUUGACAACCACUGAUUACAAUAAAACAAAUCUGACUUUAUGAACACCCUGUAUAUGGGGGAAAAUAUCAAGAGAUAGGGUUCUUCCUCUGGGGACACUAAAUAUUUGCACUGAAUUUUACUGUAGUUCAUUGAAUAGUUGCAAUUGAUAUAUUGUAGUCUGCACUCAAAGUAGUGAGCUGACUGAAGGACUGGCAUCCCUUGGGCAUUGCUGCUUACAUGGCUAAAAAUAACACAUCUCCUUGUCUUGAGAGGUUUUCUACACGUAUGCAGUGGGUAUGGUCAAACCAGUUACUGCACUGGUACUAUUUUGACCCCAGUUGAGUCCGCUUUGAACUAUUUAAUGGUCAUUUAUUUCAUAAUUGAAGUAGGUACAAGAACUAUCAAGACACCCUAUGGUGAAAAUCAAGUUUUUUAUUUUGUUGACAUGUCCAUUUGGGUUUUUAUAUGUGCUAGAUGACAUAUAUUAUGAGCAAAAGCAUCAGUUCACGCCAUAGCUGUGCAUUUCUGCCUUGAAGCUGUAGCUUACAGAUACAGAAACAUGGAUUCAGACAGCUACGGUUUCAUACGUAACAAAUGUCAGCUUAGAUUGUGGGGUUUUCCAUAUUAUUGUUCUGUUUAGGGUUGAUUUCGGGUUCGAACAUUCGUGGCUACAUUACUCCAGUAAUGUAAUUUGCCAUUAAGUAAGAGAUAGAGUAGUUUUACAGUGUUUCAGCAUAUUCAUAGGUGAGCUGGUGUGCUUGAAUUAUAGCAGGUGGGUGGACACUUCGUAGAUGUGCAUAUUAUAGAGGAAUUAAUGGUGUUAGGGAGGGGUUAUUGUCAUUUUAAAAAUUCUAACUUAUGCUAACUACCAAGAAAGAAACCUGAAUUCCUCACAUUGAACUGAUUCCCAGCAGUAGUGAAGUGCAAAUUAAAAACAUGACAGCUGUCUGCCAUGUUAUUUAUUCAGCAAUCAACACAUGCACAUGCAAUGUGUGAUUUGUUUUUACUUUAGUUUGCUGCUUUCUGGCGUUUUGACAGGGUUUGUGUGGAAGCUUGAGAUCAGUUUU
ensembl:lncRNA